rnacentral:lncRNA from 1 species
CGAAGGUUAAAUAUAGUGUAGUAUCUUAUGUGUCCAUUUGUGUUAAAUUUCCACAGGAUAUUAAAGUAGCGUGACGCAUAAUAGUUCCUCUUUUCUUGGGAGACGUAGCGUACCUACGUAGCGUACACCAUGUUGGAAUCCGUGAAAAACGCGAAAUAGGACGUUAUAAUUUGACGUUUUUUCAUUGCUAGAAACAACGUCAUAGAGCUUUUAUGUCACUACCAAGUUGCGUUAGCUGAUGCGCAUAAACAAUAGGCUGUUUGGUCUUUAAAAUAUUAUU